GCGGCGUGCUUAACACAUGCAAGUCGAACGGAAAGGCCCCUUCGGGGGUACUCGAGUGGCGAACGGGUGAGUAACACGUGGGUAAUCUGCCCUGCACUUCGGGAUAAGCCUGGGAAACUGGGUCUAAUACCGGAUAUGACCACGAAGCGCAUGCUUUGUGGUGGAAAGCUUUUGCGGUGUGGGAUGGGCCCGCGGCCUAUCAGCUUGUUGGUGGGGUGAUGGCCUACCAAGGCGACGACGGGUAGCCGGCCUGAGAGGGUGUCCGGCCACACUGGGACUGAGAUACGGCCCAGACUCCUACGGGAGGCAGCAGUGGGGAAUAUUGCACAAUGGGCGCAAGCCUGAUGCAGCGACGCCGCGUGGGGGAUGACGGCCUUCGGGUUGUAAACCUCUUUCAGCAGGGACGAAGCGCAAGUGACGGUACCUGCAGAAGAAGCACCGGCCAACUACGUGCCAGCAGCCGCGGUAAUACGUAGGGUGCGAGCGUUGUCCGGAAUUACUGGGCGUAAAGAGCUCGUA
rnacentral:rRNA from 1 species